AGGGUGUAAACGCUGCGGGCUUGGUGUUGGGGGUCCUUAGUGGGCGCCCAGUGCCGGAGAGAAGUUGUUAAGCCUGCUGCUUGGGGAGUAUGUCCGCAAGGAUGAAACUUAAAGGAAUUGGCGGGGGAGCACCGCAACGGGAGGAGCGUGCGGUUCAAUUGGAUUCAACGCCGAAAAACUCACCAGGAGCGACGGAUAUAUGAAGGUCAAGCUGAUGACUCUGCUAGAUUUUCAGAGAGGUGGUGCAUGGCGUCAGUGACU
rnacentral:rRNA from 1 species